rnacentral:misc_RNA from 1 species
GCAAACUUGGUCAUUUAGAGGAAGUACAAGUCGUAACAAGGUUUCCGUAGGUGAACCUGCGGAAGGAUCAUUAGCAAAUCAAGUUAAGGAACACUGGUAGUUAUCAGUAUAUCCCUAACACAUUUGUGCUCCAGAUUAUUCUGGUUGCAUCAUAUCAUAUUCAUGAUAUAAUUAUGUUAUCAUUUUUUAUUAUCAAAAAUAUUCAAUACACUUUUAACAAUGGAUCUCUUGGCUCUUGCAUCGAUGAAGAACGCAGC